AAGUGCCAUGGUGGCAGCCUUAGCUUUGUAGGGGUCGUGAGGCGCAUCUUCAAGACUCUGCCAGGUCUUGCGGAAGUUACAAAACUUUAUGCUAGCAGAAGCACUUGGAACAGUGCGCCAUAGAAGGUGAAAGCCCUGUAUGCGAAAGCAUAAAGUCUUCCGGAUGCGUCCUCGAGUACUACCGCCCCCGCGGAAGGUGGUAGGAAUCUGGGGAGACCACUCUCCAAGGCUAAGUACUACUAGCUGACCGAUAGCGCAUAGUACCGCGAGGGAAAGGCGAAAAGAACCCCGGAAGGGGAGUGAAAUAGAGCCUGAAACCAAGGAUCUACAACCCAGUGGAAGAGGCUUUUGCCUCGACUGCGUGCCUUUUGCAAAAUGAGCCAGGGAGUUGUCCUAAGCUGCAAGGUUAAGUCGCAAGACGAAGCCGAAGGGAAACCGAGUCCGAAUAGGGCGUUAAGUAGCUUGGGGCAGACGCGAAGCGGAACGAUCUACCCAUGCCCAAGGUGAAGGACAGGUAAUACUGUCUGGAGGCCUGAACCAGUCGGUGCUGCAAAACCGUUGGAUGAGGUGUGGGUAGCGGUGAAAAGCCAAUCGCGUUCCGGGAUAGCUCGUUCUCUCCGAAAUAGGUCGACGCCUAGCGUCAUGGUAGCUUCUCUCAGGUAGAGCCACUGGAAGGGCUAGGGCCUCGAAAGGGGUACCGAACCCUACCAAACUCCGAAUGGGGAGAAAGCGGUCCAUGGCAGUCAGUACCCGGGGGAUAAGCUCCAGGUACGAGAGGGAAAGAACCCAGACCGUCAGCUAAGGUCCCUAAACUGAGCUAAGUGGGGAAGGAUGUGAAACCCCUAAAACAGCCAGGAGGUUGGCUUAGAGGCAGCCAUCCUUUAAAGAGUGCGUAACAGCUCACUGGCCUAUUGGGGUUUCGCGCCGAAAAUUUAGCGGGGCUAAGCUCAGUACCGAAGCUACGGACAGCGUUAAGCUGUGGUAGGAGAGCGUUCCCUGUUGGCUGAAGUCAAAGCCGUAAGGCAUGAUGGACGACAGGGAAGUGAGGAUCCUGGCAUGAGUAGUAGCGAAGAUAGAUGAGAAAUCUAUCCGCCGGAAGCCCAAGGUUUUGGCGUCAAUGUAAAUCAUACGCCAGUUAGCCGGUACCUAAGGUGAGGCCGAUGAGGCGUAGCCGAUGGAAAACGGGUCAACAUUCCCGUGCCAGCUAAGUGGAGGUUAAGUCAUGACGUAGGAAGCUAAAGGCAGCCUGCUAUGGAAUGCAGGUUCAAGGUAGUAGGAGGAAGGGAUAGGCAAAUCCGUCUCUUCAUACUCCGAGAGCUGAUGAAGUAAUUGCCUUGACGCUACACUACCGAGAAACAAUGGCGUAACCUUUGAAGCUUAGCUGACCGUACUGGAAACCGACACAGGUGGGCUGGGUUAGUAGCCUAAGGCGUCGGGGGAACUCUCCUCAAGGAACUCGGCAAAUUGACCCCGUACCUUCGGAAGAAGGGGUGCCCAUGGAGGUUGUAGUUUUUCGGCGAAGGCCUCCGUGGGUCGCAGAGACCAGGUGGUGCCGACUGUUUACCAAAAACACAGGACUACGCAAACUCGAAAGAGGACGUAUGUGGUCUGAAACCUGGCCAGUGCUCGUAGGUUAAGAGGCGGGGUGCAAGCCCCAAAUCGAAGCCCGGGUAAACGCCGGCCGUAACUAUGACGGUCCUAAGGUAGCGAAAUUCCUUGUCGGGUAAGUUCCGACCUGCAUGAAUGGUCCAACGAGUGCCACGCUGUCUCGAGGAGAGACCCGAUGAAAUUGUGAUGCCGGUCAAGACACCGGCUACCCACGGCAGGACGGAAAGACCCCGUGAAGCUUCACUGUAACCUGACAUUGGACUUUGACCUAUCCUGCGCAGGAUAGGUGGGAGGCUAGGAAGCCCCUCUUUCGGGAGGGGUGGAGCCGCCGGUGAGAUACCACCCUGGAUAGGUUAGAGUUCUAACCUUAGCAGGUGAGCCUUGCAAGGGACAGUGUCAGGCGGGCAGUUUAGCUGGGGCGGCUGCCUCCUAAAGAGUAACGGAGGCGUCCAAAGGUACCCUCAGGCGAGUCGGAAAUUCGCCAUCGAGUACAAAGGCAUAAGGGUGCCUGACUGUGAGACAGACAUGUCGAGCAGACGCGAAAGCGGGG
rnacentral:rRNA from 1 species